GAGAACGGAUUCUUCGGGAUACUAGUAAACUGGCGAACGGGUGAGUAACACGUAGGUAAUCUACCCUGGAGAUUGGGAUAACCCCGGGAAACCGGAGCUAAUACUGAAUAAUGCAGCGGAUCCUUCGGGAUAUGUUGUUAAAGCGGGCUUUUGCUCGCACUUUAGGAUGAGCCUGCGUCCGAUUAGCUUGUUGGUGGGGUAAUAGCCUACCAAGGCGAUGAUCGGUAGCUGGUCUGAGAGGAUGAUCAGCCACACUGGGAUUGAGAUACGGCCCAGACUCCUACGGGAGGCAGCAGUGGGGAAUUUUGCGCAAUGGGCGAAAGCCUGACGCAGCAACGCCGCGUGAUCGAUGAAGCUUUUCGGAGUGUAAAGAUCUGUCGUGAGGGAAGAAUAACUUGGAUGCAAAUAGUUUUCAAGUCUGACGGUACCUCAUAAGAAAGCACCGGCUAACUUCGUGCCAGCAGCCGCGGUAAUACGAGGGGUGCUAGCGUUGUCCGGAAUCAUUGGGCGUAAAGGGUCCGUAGGUGUCUUUGCAAGUCGUUUGUUACAUCCACCGGCUUAACCGGUGGCCUGCAAUCGAAACUGCAAGGAUAGAGUUCGAGAGAGGAAAGUGGAAUUCCUGGUGUAGCGGUGACAUGCGUAGAUAUCAGGAGGAACACCAAUGGCGAAGGCAGCUUUCUGGCUCGAUACUGACACUGAGGGACGAAAGCGUGGGUAGCGAACAGGAUUAGAUACCCUGGUAGUCCACGCCGUAAACGAUGAGUACUUGAUGUCGGAGGAUUCGACCCCUUCGGUAUCGUAGCUAACGCNU
rnacentral:rRNA from 1 species